AAACACACUGAGACGGUUAACAAAAUUACAAAUCACUGUUGAAAGUUGAAACCACCACCUCUCGAUGCUUACUCAAGUAGUUACUGCAGUCAUAGAACUGGUCAGUAACUCUAACUUCCUUUUUGGAUAAAUGUAUAGCUUUAAAUCUAUUAUUAAUAACAGUUUGAUUUAAGAGGUAGAAUUGUAGCCAAUUUUAAUUGCAUUAAUUUUAACUCAAUCUUUUCCACUUUUAUCUAAACGGAUGCUCCAAAACAAGUGCUUUAAAAAAAGUAACAAGUCAAAAAAGAAAUCUAUUUGAGUAGGUACAUCCUCCGUUAAUUUUGGAUGGUAAUUCUUUUAAUUCAAUCAAUGUCAUAUUAGGAAGUUGAGUAGUAAAAAACCAAUUAUUCCAUAUAGUACAAUCUAUACCCUUCACCCUCACAAAUAAUCAAUUAUGGAUAAAUUCAUUCUUAUUUAAUUUUCUUAAUAACUUUUUCACCAAAAUUACAAUAUCUCAUUUAAUAAUCACAAAAAUAUAUAUUAGUGCUUAAAAUUGUUAUAACUAAGAAGAAAAAUCUUUAAUAAUCACAAAAGUAUUUGGUCUAAUGAUUUUUACCAUAUCUCAUUUGACAAUGUAUAUUUCAAUUUUAUGACAUUUUACUUUUAUUUUUAUAAAUUUACAUCAAGAUUUUUAAAUGGUUAAUUUUCAUUACAAGUGUUUUUAUUUUUAUGUUUACACAUUUAUAAAUUAAAAUUUUAAAUGAUUAAAAUUUUUACUUCAAAAAUAUAAAUAUAAUUUGAAUUAAGGAUGUGCCAUAUUUUAUGUUAAUUUUUAUACAUUUUCAUUAAUAAUAAAUAUAAUGUUAACAUAUAUAUUCGAAUUAAACAUAUGUGAUAUUUUAUAUUAAUUCUUUUACAUUUAUGUUAAUAAUAUAUAAAUUUGAAUUACACAUAUGUGAUAUUUUAUGUUAAUUUUUAUUCAUUUAAGUUAAUAAUUUAUAAAUCCAAUUUAAACAUAUGUGAUAUUUAACGUUAAUUCUUAUAUAUUUAAGUUAGUAAUAUAUAAAUUUGAAUUAAGGAUAUGUGAUAGUUAAGGUUAAUUCUUAUACAUUUACAUUAAUAAUAUGUAAAUUCGAAUUAAGUAUAUGUGAUAUUUUAUAUUAAUUCUUAUACAUUUAUGUUAAUAAUAUAUAAAUUUAAAUUACACAUAUGUGAUAUUUUAUGUUAAUUCUUAUACAUUUAAGUUAAUAAUUUAUAAAUUUAAAUUAAGCGUAUGUGACAUUUAACGUUAAUUCUUAUAUAUUUACGUUAAUAAUAUAUAAAUCUGAAGUAAGAAUAUACAAAAUUUAAUGGUAAUUCUUAUACAUUUAUGCUAAUAAUUUAUAAAUUUGAAUUAAGUGUAUGUGGUUUUUUAUAUUAAUUCUUAUGCAUAUAUGUUAAUAAUAUAUAAAUUUAAAUUAUGCAGAUGUGAUAGUUUAUGUUCAUUCUUAUACAUUUAGGUUAGUGAUAUAUAAAUUUAAAUUAAGCAUAUGUGUUUUUUAAUGUUAAUUAUUUUACAUUUAUGAUAAUAAUAAUAUAUAAAUUCAAAUUAAACAUAUGUGAUAUUUAAUGUUAAUUCUUAUACAUUUAUAUUGAUAAUAUUAUAUAGAUUCAAAUUAAGGAUAUGUGAUUUUAAUGUUAAUUCUUAUACAUUUAUGUUAAUAAUGUAUAAAUUUGAAUUAAACAUAUAUGAUAUUUAACGUUAAUUAUUAUAUAUUUAUGUUAAUAAUAUAUAAAUUUAAAUUACACAUAUGUGGUAUUUUAUGUUAAUUUUUAUACAUUUAGAUUAAUAAUUUAUAAAUUCAAAUUAAGGGUAUGUGAUAUUUAACAUUAAUUUUUUUACAUUUACGUUAAUAAUUUAUAAAUUUGAAUUAAACAUUAAUUGCAAUACAUUUACAUUAAUAAUAUAUAAAUUUAAAUUACGCAUAUGUGAUAGUUUAUGUUAAUUCUUAUACAUUUAGGUUAAUAAUAUAUAAACUCAAUCUAAACAUAGAUGUUAUUUACUGUUAAUUUUGCACAUUUAUGUUAACAAUAUGUAAAUUCAAAAUAAAUAUAUGUGAUAUUUAAUGUUAAUUCUUAAACAUUUUUGUUAGUAAUAUAUAAAUUCAAAUUAAGGAUAUGCGAUAUUUAAUGUUAAUUCUUAUACAUUUACCUUAACAAUAUAUAAAUUCGAAUUAAGUAUAUGUGAUAUUUUAUAUUAAUUCUUAAUAUUUAUGUUAAUAAUAUAUAAACUUAAAUUACACAUAUGUGGUAUUUUAUUUUAAUUUUUAUAUAUUUAGAUUAAUAAUUUAUAAAUUCAAAUUAAGCGUAUGUGAUAUUUAACAUUAAUUUUUUUACAUUUACGUUAAUAAUUUAUAAUUUGAAUUAACUAUUAAUUGUGAUACAUUUACAUUAAUAAUAUAUAAAUUCGUAUUGCAUAUAUGCGAUAUUUAACGUUAAUUCUUAUAAAUUUGUGUUAGUAACUUAUAAAUUUAAAUUACGCAUAUGUGAUAGUUUAUGUUAAUUCUUAUACAUUUAGGUUAGUAAUAUGUAAAUUCAAAUUAAGCAUAUGUGAUGUUUUACGUUAAUUCUUAUACAUUAUGUUAAUAAUAUAUAAAUUCAAAUUAAGUAUAUGUGACAUUUUACGCUAAUUCUUAUACAUUUAGGUUAAUAAUAUAUAAAGCCCAAUUAAGUAGAUGUAAUAUUUUAGCUUAAUUCUUAUACAUUUAUGUUAAUAAUUUAUAAAUUUGAAUUAAUCAUAUAUGAUAAUUUAUCUUAAUUUUUAUACAUCUAAGUUAAUAAUAUACAAAGUCAAAUUAAGCGUAUGUAAUAUUUUACCUUAAAUUUUUUACAUUUAUGUUAAUGAUAUAUAAAUUCAAAAUAAGUUUAUAUGAUAUUUUGUUUAUACGAUAAGCUCAAGUUUAUGAAGGAGUCUAUUCCGAAUAUAGUCAAGUAGUUUGAGGUGAAAGGACUCCCGCUAGGGAGGAUUCUGCGUAGAGUGCCACACAAACUCGUCUGCUUCUACAUGGUAUUUCAGUUAAAUUUGAAUUGGCUAGUUGGAGGAGUUUGUCCUGAUGAGUGGGAUUUUACUAAACAGUUAAAGAUGAAUUGGAGAAGAACAUAAAUUGAGGAAUGGACAGCUUUUUUUUUUUUUUUUCCAAAGGAAAAAGGUGUAUAUAAAAUUAAAUUAUAUACAGCUUUCAAAACAACAUGGAUAAGCUGGCACAAACAUCCAAAGGAAAACCACAAGUGUUCAAGCCUGUUCUCCCAUUUAGCUCAUUAAUACAGUCGAGCUCGACCUUAAUUAAGAAGCGACUCUUGACAGCUUUAGGUCCACAAAAUUUAAAGUUCGGACAGCAGUAAUGGAGCGGACUGCAAUUACAUCUCAAUCGCAAGAGUGCUCGGGCAUUUAAUUCACCAGGAACACCUGUGAGCUUUGGACAGUUGUGACGGUGGUUUGGUUUGGACAAAGUCAAUGUGUUCCGAUAUGUGUAUUAUUUGAAGCUGAGCGUAUUCGGUGGGAUGGAAGUGGGCAUUAUAUCAUCCCGUAAUCCCCAAAGCUGGAUAUUUGCAGGAAAAUAGGGGUUAUUGAUGUUUUUAUAGGUUAUUUUAUCUACUAUCUUUUGUAAUUAUAAAGCACAAAGCUAAUUUAAGCUUUGGCAUGAAGCAAUGCCCUGCAUAACUU
rnacentral:lncRNA from 1 species